AUUGAACGCUGGCGGCAGGCUUAACACAUGCAAGUCGAACGGUAACAGGGAUUAGCUUGCUAAUCUGCUGACGAGUGGCGGACGGGUGAGUAAUGCUUGGGAAUCUGGCUUAUGGAGGGGGAUAACUACGGGAAACUGUAGCUAAUACCGCGUAAAAUCUUCGGAUUAAAGGGUGGGACUUUCGGGCCACCUGCCAUAAGAUGAGCCCAAGUGGGAUUAGGUAGUUGGUUAGGUAAAGGCUGACCAAGCCGACGAUCUCUAGCUGGUCUGAGAGGAUGACCAGCCACACUGGAACUGAGACACGGUCCAGACUCCUACGGGAGGCAGCAGUGGGGAAUAUUGCACAAUGGGGGGAACCCUGAUGCAGCCAUGCCGCGUGAAUGAAGAAGGCCUUCGGGUUGUAAAGUUCUUUCGGUGACGAGGAAGGUUGGUAGGUUAAUAGCCUAUCAAAUUGACGUUAAUCACAGAAGAAGCACCGGCUAACUCCGUGCCAGCAGCCGCGGUAAUACGGGGGGUGCAAGCGUUAAUCGGAAUAACUGGGCGUAAAGGGCACGCAGGCGGUGACUUAAGUGAGAUGUGAAAGCCCCGAGCUUAACUUGGGAAUUGCAUUUCAUACUGGGUCGCUAGAGUACUUUAGGGAGGGGUAGAAUUCCACGUGUAGCGGUGAAAUGCGUAGAGAUGUGGAGGAAUACCGAAGGCGAAGGCAGCCCCUUGGGAAUGUACUGACGCUCAUGUGCGAAAGCGUGGGGAGCAAACAGG
rnacentral:rRNA from 1 species